AAUACCGCAUACGAUCUGUGGAUGAAAGCGGGGGAUCCUUCGGGACCUCGCGCUACAGGGGCGGCCGAUGGCAGAUUAGCUAGUUGGUGGGGUAAAGGCCUACCAAGGCGACGAUCUGUAGCUGGUCUGAGAGGACGACCAGCCACACUGGGACUGAGACACGGCCCAGACUCCUACGGGAGGCAGCAGUGGGGAAUUUUGGACAAUGGGCGAAAGCCUGAUCCAGCAAUGCCGCGUGUGUGAAGAAGGCCUUCGGGUUGUAAAGCACUUUUGUCCGGAAAGAAAACCUCGUGGUUAAUACCCGUGGGGGAUGACGGUACCGGAAGAAUAAGCACCGGCUAACUACGUGCCAGCAGCCGCGGUAAUACGUAGGGUGCAAGCGUUAAUCGGAAUUACUGGGCGUAAAGCGUGCGCAGGCGGUCCGCUAAGACAGAUGUGAAAUCCCCGGGCUUAACCUGGGAACUGCAUUUGUGACUGGCGGGCUAGAGUAUGGCA
rnacentral:rRNA from 1 species